rnacentral:rRNA from 1 species
UACGGGGGGAGCAAGCGUUGUUCGGAUUUACUGGGCGUAAAGGGCGCGUAGGCGGCUAGAUGUGUCAAAGGUGAAAUCCCUCGGCUCAACUGAGGAACUGCCUUUGAAACUGUCUGGCUUGAGGCCGGGAGAGGGUAGCGGAAUUCCCAGUGUAGCGGUGAAAUGCGUAGAUAUUGGGAGGAACACCAGUGGCGAAGGCGGCUACCUGGACCGGUUCUGACGCUGAGGCGCGAAAGCGUGGGUAGCAAACAGG